rnacentral:rRNA from 1 species
UACCCGCAGCUCAAGUGGUGGUCAUUAUUAUUGGGCCUAAAGCGUCCGUAGCUGGCUUGUUAGAUGCCUGGGUAAAUCGAUGCGCUUAACGCAUCGAAUUCCGGGUAGACCGGCAAGCUCGAGACCGGGAGAGGUGUAGGCUACUCGAGGGGUAGGGGUAAAAUCCUGUAAUCCUUCGGGGAGGACCAGUGGCGAAGGCGCUACACUAGAACGGCUCUGACAGUGAGGGACGAAGCCCUGGGGCGCAAACCGG